AUUUUAUACUUAAUUUUUUAGAACUAAUAAAAUUAAAAGUAUUUUAUUGGGGUGAUAAAAAAAUUUAAUUAACUUUUUUUAUUAUUAAACAAAUAUUAUUGAUUAAAUUUUUUUAUUAAUAAAUAAAUUAUUAAUUUAAAUUAAAU
rnacentral:rRNA from 1 species